rnacentral:rRNA from 1 species
GAGUUUGAUCCUGGCUCAGGACGAACGCUGGCGGCGCGCCUAACACAUGCAAGUCGAACGGAGCUGAGAGGAGCUUGCUUUUCUUAGCUUAGUGGCGAACGGGUGAGUAACGCGUGAGUAACCUGCCCUGGAGUGGGGGACAACAGUUGGAAACGACUGCUAAUACCGCAUAAGCCCACGAUCCGGCAUCGGAUUGUGGGAAAAGGAUUUAUUCGCUUCAGGAUGGACUCGCGUCCAAUUAGCUAGUUGGUGAGGUAACGGCCCACCAAGGCGACGAUUGGUAGCCGGACUGAGAGGUUGAACGGCCACAUUGGGACUGAGACAGGCCCAGACUCCUACGGGAGGCAGCAGUGGGGAAUAUUGCACAAUGGGGGAAACCCUGAUGCAGCGACGCCGCGUGGAGGAAGAAGGUCUUCGGAUUGUAAACUCCUGUUGUUGGGGAAGAUAAUGACGGUACCCAACAAGGAAGUGACGGCUAACUACGUGCCAGCCGCCGCGGUAAUUC